UCCGGUAUGGUGUAGUGGCUAACAUCGCUCGCUCUCAAUCUCCUGGUUCAUCCCAGGUUGAGUGGUUCCGAGCAGCCCAGGGUUCGAUUCCCUGUACCGGAG